UAUUCUGCCCCAUGGGGAAGGAUGAGAAGCUUCGACUAAGGUUCGACUCGAGCGAAGCGAGAGAACGUUGCCGCAGGCAACGGCCCGAAGGGC
rnacentral:sRNA from 2 species